rnacentral:sRNA from 1 species
AACCCCUGAGUUUGUUAUUCUAAGCCAGAAUGCCUGGCAUUUUACAUGGGUUCCGAGAUGGCACGUGGCUCCUCCUGCUUACCCAGCAAGUGCUUGCUUUACCAAUCAACCCUCAGGCCCGAACACCCCAGUGGGAGUAAUUUCUUAUAGAAUACUUAUGAACUCUUGAGCAGAGCUACACAAGAGGCUGAGGCAGUAGAACCCCAGGUUUGAGGCCUGCUUGGGUCAUCGUAGGGAGUUCAAGGCAACUUGGGGAGAUCCUGUCUCAAAGCAAAUGUAGAUAAGGACUGGAACCGUAGUCGAGUGUGGCUGAACUCGGAUGGAACUUGCAGGUCCCUGGAUGACCCCAGUACUACACAGGAAAAUCAUGAUCCCAAGACAGUCAACGUUCGAUGACCUUAGAACUGUUUUGGAGAUGUAAGCCCAGCUGUCAUGGUAGGUUCUGGGGAGGGCCUCUGCCCUGGCCUUGUAUUCUCUCACAGCGGAGAGGAGAAACUCUAAUCUUUUCUUCUAAGGUGCUGAGCUCAUCCUGGGGAUCCAAUGACCAUCAUGACUGGAUUUGAACCAUAUUAUCUUCCAAAGGCCUUAUCUCCAAAUACUAUCCCAAUUGGAGAUCCUUAUUAAACGAGGAACCAAGGCUUGUGACCUCUAGGGACAGAUACAGUUUCUGCAAAGGGCCGAUUAAAGAAUUGUUUGGCAUUCUGACUCUGUUUCCUCAUUUGCGACUGAGGCAAUGAGAAUCGCGGCUCCCUCAGGGGAAGGAAACCCUCUGGAGUUGAUCCCUUACCAACCUACUGACGUUCCUCCAGAUGGAUCUUCUCCAGUAACGGCUUCUUAGUUGUUCUUUGCCUGCCUUGUGUCCUGUACCAUCCCGCGGACUUCACUCCAGGUUGAAGCUCUGUGUUGGAGUAGAUCUGUUGCAAUCCAAUCCUCAAACCCACAGACCUGAUCCUGUUUCAGUCCCCACCAGUUCCCCUGGUACCCGGGAUGCAGACGUAGCUCGCCACUCUGCCCCUCACACCGGUAACUCAGCACACGUCUACAGCGGAGCCUGGUAAGCCUCAUGCUUUAAAGUCAGACAUUCUUUACCCGAGGAAACUUUUCCUCAUCUCUAACCUCUGCAAGCGUCUUUUCCCCCUAAGCAUUUUUGUUAAUGAUUUGAAAAUUUCAUGUAAUGUAUUGUGAUCAUGGUCACUGCCACUUCUUUUUCUAACUCCUCCCAGAUCCACCCCUACAUCCUCAACUUCAUUCCCGCCCCCCACCUUUAAAUAACCCACUGACUCCAAUUUGUGCCCCCUGAGUGUGGGGCCAUCCACUGGAGCCACAUGCUAAAAGACUGACUCAUUCCCACUCCAAGCCAUUGAUUGACCAUAGUUCCCCAGUCAGGGGUAGAGGCUCACGAACCCCUUCCUUAUCCAUGCUAGAGUAUUGAUUGGCUUGUUCUUAUGUGGGUCUUGCCCAGGCAAUCGAAGCCCCUGGGAGCCCACCUUACCUUUUCCUUUCUU